UAAUACGGAGGAUCCAAGCGUUAUCCGGAUUUAUUGGGUUUAAAGGGUGCGUAGGCGGAUUAAUAAGUCAGUGGUGAAAGCCUGCAGCUUAACUGUAGAAUUGCCAUUGAUACUGUUAAUCUUGAAUGUAGUUGAGAUGGGCGGAAUAUGACAUGUAGCGGUGAAAUGCUUAGAUAUGUCAUAGAACACCGAUUGCGAAGGCAGCUCGUUAAACUAUUAUUGACGCUGAGGCACGAAAGCGUGGGGAGCAAACAGGAUUAGAUACCCUGGUAGUCCACGCCCUAAACGAUGAUCACUCGAUGUUGGCGAUACACAGUCAGCGUCUAAGGGAAACCAUUAAGUGAUCCACCUGGGGAGUACGGUCGCAAGACUG
rnacentral:rRNA from 1 species